rnacentral:rRNA from 1 species
AGUGGCGGACGGGUGAGUAAUGUAUAGGAAUCUACCUAGUAGUACGGAAUAAUUGUUGGAAACGGCAACUAAUACCGUAUACGCCCUACGGGGGAAAGAUUUAUCGCUAUUAGAUGAGCCUAUAUUAGAUUAGCUAGUUGGUAAGGUAAUGGCUUACCAAGGCAAUGAUCUAUAGCUGAUCUGAGAGGAUGAUCAGCCACACUGGAACUGAGAUACGGUCCAGACUCCUACGGGAGGCAGCAGUGGGGAAUAUUGGACAAUGGGCGAAAGCCUGAUCCAGCCAUGCCGCAUGAGUGAAGAAGGCCUUUGGGUUGUAAAGCUCUUUCGGUGAGGAAGAUAAUGACGGUACUCACAGAAGAAGUCCUGGCUAACUCCGUGCCAGCAGCCGCGGUAAUACGGAGAGGGCUAGCGUUAUUCGGAAUUAUUGGGCGUAAAGAGCGCGUANGCUGGUUAGUAAGUUAAAAGUGAAAUCCCAAAGCUCAACUUUGGAAUUGCUUUUAAAACUGCUAACCUAGAGAUUGAAAGAGGAUAGAGGAAUUCCUAGUGUAGAGGUGAAAUUCGUAAAUAUUANGAGGAACACCAGUGGCGNA